UACGUAGGGGGCAAGCGUUGUCCGGAUUUAUUGGGCGUAAAGAGCUCGUAGGCGGUUUGGUAAGUCUGGUGUGAAAUCUCCACGCUCAACGUGGAGGGGCCACCCGAUACUGCCAUGACUGGAGUCCGGUAGAGGAGUGUGGAAUUCCCGGUGUAGCGGUGAAAUGCGCAGAUAUCAGGAAGAACACCCGUGGCUAAGGCGGCUCUCUAGUACGGUACUGACGCUGAGACGCGAAAGCGUGGGGAGCGAACAGG
rnacentral:rRNA from 1 species